UACGGAGGGGGCUAGCGUUGUUCGGAAUUACUGGGCGUAAAGCGCACGUAGGCGGCUUUGCAAGUCAGAGGUGAAAGCCCGGGGCUCAACCCCGGAAUUGCCUUUGAGACUGCAUCGCUAGAAUUGUGGAGAGGUAAGUGGAAUUCCGAGUGUAGAGGUGAAAUUCGUAGAUAUUCGGAAGAACACCAGUGGCGAAGGCGACUUACUGGACACAUAUUGACACUGAGGUGCGAAAGCGUGGGGAGCAAACAGG
rnacentral:rRNA from 1 species